rnacentral:tRNA from 1 species
GUGGGUGUAGCUCAGUUGGUUAGAGCACGAGGUUGUGGUCCUCGGGGUCGCGGGUUCGAAUCCCGUCACUCACCCCA